rnacentral:rRNA from 1 species
AUCGAACGCUGGCGGCAUGCCUUACACAUGCAAGUCGAACGGCAGCACUGUGCCUUGCACCUGUGCGCGAGUGGCGAACGGGUGAGUAAUACAUCGGUACCUGUCCUUUAGCGGGGGGUAACCCUGCGAAAGCUGGAGUAAUACCGCAUUCGAUCCACGUAUGAAAGCGUGGGGCUUGCAAGCCUCGCGCUGUUGGGUUGGCCGAUGGCUGUUUAGAUCGUUGGUGGGGUAAAGUCCUACCAAAGCGAGGUCCAGUAGCUGGUCCCAGAGGACGACCGACCACAUUGGGAGUGGACCACGGCCAAGACUCCUAAGGGAGGCAGCAGUGGGGUAUUUUGGACAAUGGGCGAAAGCAUGGCCCAGCGGUGGCGCGUGUGUGACGAAGGCCUUCCGGUUGUGAAGAACUUUUGUGCGGAAAGAAAUGCUUGGCGCUAAUACAGUCGGGGGAUGACGGUAACGGAUGAAUAAGCACCGGCUAACUACGUG